UUAUCAGCACUCGUUAUUCUGACACCCAUUUAACUGCCUCGUAUACCUAUCUCAUAUUAUGAAAAUAAUUUGUUUAUUAAGAAAACUGUAUGUUAAUACAGACAAUCAAACAUACAUCAUGUCGAAUAAUAGAAAAAAUUAAAUAAAUCAUGAAAUGCUCUGAUCUUCGUGUCAUGCUUCGCAAAGUCGUUACAACUUCCAUCUCUGAAGGCAGAUACAGAUUUCUAACUACCCAAGUGGAAUGACUAGAUCAGAUACAGAUACGACAAUUUGCUCAAACCCAUUUUUAGCUAGCCAAAAAAUAGUACAAUCUACCACCACAACCGUACCAGCUAUAGUCGCCCUAACAGAUAUCUAUAGUCACAAUAUUACUUAGCCACAGGUGACCCCUACAGAUAAUGUGAUACCACUCUUGUUAGAGGGUACGUCGUCCUCUAUUGGGAGUGGUCCUCUUACGUCUUUCGAGACCAGAUAGAGGAAGGAGGAAAAAAAUACCCCAAAGAG
rnacentral:lncRNA from 1 species